AUUGAACGCUGGCGGCAUGCUUUACGCAUGCAAGUCGAACGGCAGCGCGGGCUUCGGCCUGGCGGCGAGUGGCGAACGGGUGAGUAAUGCAUCGGAACGUGCCCAGUAGUGGGGGGUAGCCCGGCGAAAGCCGGAUUAAUACCGCAUACGACCUGAGGGUGAAAGCGGGGGACCGAAAGGCCUCGCGCUAUUGGAGCGGCCGAUGUCGGAUUAGCUAGUUGGUGGGGUAAAGGCUUACCAAGGCGACGAUCCGUAGCUGGUCUGAGAGGACGACCAGCCACACUGGGACUGAGACACGGCCCAGACUCCUACGGGAGGCAGCAGUGGGGAAUUUUGGACAAUGGGGGCAACCCUGAUCCAGCCAUGCCGCGUGCGGGAAGAAGGCCUUCGGGUUGUAAACCGCUUUUGUUCGGGAAGAAAUCCUCUGGGCUAAUACCCCGGGGGGAUGACGGUACCGGAAGAAUAAGCACCGGCUAACUACGUG
rnacentral:rRNA from 1 species